rnacentral:lncRNA from 1 species
UAUCCAAAUUAAAUUAAGAUACUUAAUUAUACUUAAAACACCAUUUCAUUUAGAGAUGAAAAUGGGGAUGAUCUCGAUCCUUCGGUUCCUCUCCUCAAUUGUUUGGAUAAGAGUUCCCUUACUCGACUAUUCAAACAAUUGUCAUCCUCUUAAACAUUCCUAAUUCAAUCAAAUCCAAAUCAUUUUCACAAUAACUUAGACGAAAAAGGAAGUGGUUUAGAGUCUUAUAUUCCCUUCCUCAAAUACUUGGAUACGAGUUUCCUUACUCGGUCAUUCAAGUAUUCAUCGUUUAUCUAAAAC